rnacentral:rRNA from 1 species
CCUACGGGUGGCAGCAGUGGGGAAUAUUGGACAAUGGGGGGAACCCUGAUCCAGCGACGCCGCGUGAGUGAAGAAGUAUUUCGGUAUGUAAAGCUCUAUCAGCAGGGAAGCAAGACAUGACGGUACCUGACUAAGAAGCCCCGGCUAACUACGGGCCAGCAGCCGCGGUAAUACGUCGGGGGCAAGCGUUAUCCGGAUUUUCUGGGUGUAAAGGGAGCGUAGACGGCGGGGCAAGUCUGAAGGGAAAGCCGGGGGCCCAACCUCCGGACUGCUUUGGACACUGGAUGGCUGGAGUGCAGGAGAGGUAAGUGGAAUGCCUAGUGUAGCGGUGAAAUGCGUAGAUAUUAGGAGGAACACCAGUGGCGAAGGCGGCUUACUGGACUGUAACUGACGUUGAGGCUCGAAAGCGUGGGGAGCAAACAGGAUUAGAUACCCCUGUAGUC